CUAGAGUGGCCGAGUGGUCUAAGGCGUCAGCUUCGAUGCAACUUAAGAUCUGAUGGUGAAAAUCGCGUGGGUUCGAAUAUCAUACACCCCACCUCUAG
rnacentral:tRNA from 1 species